CCUUUGGAGAACCAUACGGACAAAAGUAGUAAUUGUAUAUUAUGAAAUUGGGUUCGUUGAAUAAGGAA
rnacentral:ncRNA from 1 species